AUUAAAUCUGACAUUUAUAUCAUUAAAUUUCAUAAAGUUAGUGUUGUUUAUUAGCUUCUUUUCCUGAAUAUCCAACGAGAUUGGAGUUAAAUCCUAGCACUACUUGU
rnacentral:snoRNA from 1 species